GUGCAAUUUCAGCUCACUGCAACCUCAGCCUCCUGAGUAGCUGGGGGGUCAUAGGUGCAUGCCACCACGCCCAGCUAAUUUUUUUUCUAUUUUUAGUCGAGACAGGGUUUUAUCACGUAUGCCAGGCUGGUCUCGAACUCCUGACCUUAGGUGAUCCACCCGCCUCAGCCUCCCAAAGUGCAGGGAUUACGGCAUGAGCCACCACGCCUGGCCUAUUCAAGAAUAUUGAGGGACAGAAAAUAUCUAUAUAUAUCCAUCCUCAGAACCUUAAAUAUACAGGUCACUACAGUCUUUAUUAUUUUAAUUUUUGUUUCUUAGGGUUUCUUUUGGUGGUGGUUUUUUGAGAUGGAGCAUCAUUCCGUCUCCCAGGCUGUAGUGCAGUGGCACAAUCUUGGCUCACUGCAAGCUCCGCCUCCCGGGUUCACGCCAUUCUCCUGCCUCAGCCUCCCGUCUUAGGUCUUUUUGAAAGAGGUUAUGCCUCUGUUGCCUAGUCUGGAGUGGUGCAAUGGUGUGAUCUUGGCUCACUGCAACCUCCACCUCCAGGUCUUAAGAGAUCCUCCCUGCUCAGCCUCGUGAGUAGCUAGAACCGCAGGUGCAUGCCACCACAGCUAAUUCUUGUAUUUUUUAUAGAGAGUGUUUCGCCAUAUUGUCCAGGCCGGGCUCAAACCCCUGAUCUUAAGUGAUCUAUCUGCCUUAGCCUCCCAAUGUGCUGGGUUUACAGGCGUGAGCCACUAUGCCCAGCCCCUUUUUAAUUUUUUAAAAAUGUUUAUUUUUGAGAUGGAGUUUCGCUCUUGUUGCCCCAACUGGAGACCAAUGACAUGAUCUCAGCUCACUGCAACCUCCGCCUCCCGGGUUCAACUGAUUCUCCUCCCUCAGCCUCCGGAAAAGCUGGGAUUACAAGCAUCUACCAUCAUACCUGGCUAAUUCUGUAUUUUUAGUAGAGAAGGGGUUUCUCUAUGUUGGUCAGGCUGGUCUCCACCUCCCGACCUCAGGUGAUCUGCCUGCCUUGGCCUCCCAAAGUGCUGAGAUUACAGGCUUGAGCCACUGUGCCCGGCCAAAUUUUUAUUAUUUUUAAAUUAGAGGUGGGGUCUCACCAUGUUGACCAGUUUGGUCUCGAACUUCUGGCCUCAGUCCCUUGUCUUGGCCUCCCAAAGUGUUGGGGUUUCAGGUGUUAGACCCCAUGCCCAACCACUACAGUUUUUGUUUUUGUUUUUGUUUUUUUUUCAGACGGAGUCUUGCUCUGUCGCCCAGGCUGGAGUGCAGUGGCGCAAUCUUGGCUCACGGCAAGCUCCACCUCCCGGGUUCACGCCAUUCUCCUGCCUCAGCCUCCCCAGUAGCUGGGACUAAAGGUGCCCGCCACCAUGCCCGGCUAAUUUUUUUGUAUUUUUAGUAGAGACAGGGCUUCACCAUGUUAGCCAGGCUGGUCUCAAACUCCUGACCUCAGUUCAUCCACCCGCCUUGGCCUUCCAAAGUGCUGGGAUUACAGGCAUGAUCCACUGCGCCCGGCCUCACUGCCAUUUUAUAGAUGAGAAAGCCAAGUUCCAGAAAAGUUGUGAAAUAGACGGUGACUAUAAAACUGGGACUAGAGAUAGUAUCCUAAUGCUUGUUGAUUGUUUUUGUCCAUACUGAUUGUCAACCUACCAAUAUAAUCUACCAUCAAGUCA
rnacentral:lncRNA from 10 species